CCUACGGGAGGCAGCAGUGGGGAAUUUUGGACAAUGGGGGCAACCCUGAUCCAGCCAUGCCGCGUGCGGGAAGAAGGCCUUCGGGUUGUAAACCGCUUUUAGCUGGGAAGAAAAGGUACGGGCCAAUACCCCGUGUUCUUGACGGUACCGGCGGAAUAAGCACCGGCUAACUACGUGCCAGCAGCCGCGGUAAUACGUAGGAGGCGAACGUUAUUCGGAUUUACUGGGCGUAAAGGGAGCGUAGGCGGUUCCUUAAGUCGGAUGUGAAAUCUUCUGACUCAAUCGGAAGGCGCCAUUUGAUACUGAGGGACUUGAGAGCAGCAGAGGGAAAUGGAAUCUCCAGUGUAGCGGUGAAAUGCGUAGAUAUUGGAGAGAACACCAGUGGCAAAGGCGGUUUCCCAGGCUGCUUCUGACGCUGAGGCGCGAAAGCCAGGGGAGCAAACGGGAUUAGAUACCCCGGUAGUCCUGGCCCUAAACGAUGGGCACUUGGUGUCGGGGGUAUUGAGUCCCCCGGUGCCGGAGUUAACGCGUUAAGUGCCCCGCCUGGGGAGUACGGUCGCAAGACUGAAACUCAAAGGAAUUGACGG
rnacentral:rRNA from 1 species